rnacentral:rRNA from 1 species
UACGAAGGGGGCGAGCGUUGUUCGGAAUUACUGGGCGUAAAGCGUGCGUAGACGGUCAUGUAAGUCGGGUGUGAAAGCCCCGGGCUCAACCUGGGAAUUGCAUUCGAGACUGCAUGGCUAGGAUGCGGAAGAGGGAAGCGGAAUUUCCGGUGUAGCGGUGAAAUGCGUAGAUAUCGGAAGGAACACCAGUGGCGAAAGCGGCUUCCUGGUCCAGCAUCGACGUUCAGGCACGAAAGCGUGGGGAGCAAACAGG